rnacentral:rRNA from 1 species
CCUACGGGUGGCAGCAGUGAGGAAUAUUGGUCAAUGGCCGGAAGGCUGAACCAGCCAUGCCGCGUGAAGGUCAGUGCCCUAUGGGCGUUAAACUUCUUUUGUGCGGGAGCAAUAAUGGUCACGUGUGGCCAGACGAGAGUACCGUACGAAUAAGCAUCGGCUAACUCCGUGCCAGCAGCCGCGGUAAUACGGGGGAUGCAAGCGUUAUCCGGAUUUAUUGGGUUUAAAGGGUGCGUAGGCUGUGCGGUAAGUCAGCGGUGAAAUGCCCGCGCUAAACGGGGUGAAGUGCCAUUGAUACUGGCUGGCUGGAAUGCGGAUGCCGUGGGAGGAAUGUGUGGUGUAGCGGUGAAAUGCAUAGAUAUCACACAGAACACCGAUUGCGAAGGCAUCUCACGAAUCCGCGAUUGACGCUGAUGCACGAAAGCGUGGGUAUCAAACAGGAUUAGAUACCCGAGUAGUC